CGUGAUUGUCUUUUCCGCUUCGCCUCGCUUUCUUACGACGUCCACGGGACCCUCCAAAUUCCCCCCGAUCUCCCUUUGUUCCCCGGCCUGGCAGGGCACGUCCAGACGCUCCACCGCAACCCCUCAAGAACUUGGCUAGGCUUGGCCACUUCCUCCCUCCAGGGAAGGCUAUCGCGGGGCUCUUGCCGCUUCCCCGGCCCCGAUCCGCCCCGGCACAGGCGGAGCGAUCCCCGGCCCCCCAUUUUCUCUGCCCUAGCCCGACUCUCCGGUGGAGCCCCGCGCGUCGCCCUCCGUUCACACGUUCCCUCGGACGGCAGACCCCCCCCCCUCCCCGGCCGAGCCUCUCCUUCGGCCCCCGAUCUCCCACAAUCCUCGCUCGGGAGGCCAAUCGCGCGGAGCUUGCUUGCGUUACACGCCGCCACAAACUCCGCCUCCGCCUCCUCCUCCUCCUUCCCCUUCUCUGGCUCUCCCUCUCCGGGUGCUCCGAGCGAGUCCUGCGCCCGGGAUGCCGCUGCGCGGAGGAGGAGGAGGAGGAAGGGAAGACCCCGCCGCCCGAAGGGGGACGCGUUCAGACGUCGCUGGAGGGCGAGCGUGAAAGCACGCGUGUCGCCGCCUCGCCUGGACGCCGCCCCAGGGUCUGCUGGGAGGCACGCGGCCAAGGAGCGCCCCUUCCCGAAUUCGAGGCCGGGGACGUCGGGGCCCCUACUCGAGAGUCGAGCACCGGCAGCUCGUCGCCUCCACGAAGCCGCCCGGUUUCCAGAGGCUGCCCUUGGAGAGACUGCGGUCCUACAGCUCGUUGUGGCGGUUGCCCGGAACGGGAGAGGAAGCGCGAGGGCUUCCAGGCACAGCGGAGGCAGGAAGACGGGCUGGAGGAAGAGACCGCGAGGCCGGCGCGGAGCUGCCCCCGGAGGGCUUGAGCACC
rnacentral:lncRNA from 1 species